rnacentral:rRNA from 1 species
AACAAACGCUGGCGGCGUGCCUAAUACAUGCAAGUCGAACGGGGAAAGCUUUCGGGUGAGUACUAGUGGCGCACGGGUGAGGAACGCGUGGAUAAUCUGCCUUAGAGUGGGGGAUAACUAGUCGAAAGAUUAGCUAAUACCGCAUAAGACCACAGGAGCUGCGGCUCAAGGGGUCAAAGGUUUUUCGCUCUAAGAUGAGUCCGCGUAAGAUUAGCUAGUUGGUGAGGUAACGGCUCACCAAGGCGACGAUCUUUAACUGGUCUGAGAGGAUGAUCAGUCACACUGGAACUGAGACACGGUCCAGACUCCUACGGGAGGCAGCAGUAGGGAAUAUUGCACAAUGGAGGAAGCUCUGAUGCAGCGACGCCGCGUGAGUGAUGAAGGCCUUCGGGUCGUAAAGCUCUGUCGCAGGGGAAUAACACAAUGAAGGUACCCUGUAAGAAAGGAUCGGCUAACUUCGUGCCAGCCGCCGCCGUAAGAC